GAUGAACGCUGGCGGCGUGCCUAACACAUGCAAGUCGAGCGAUUCUCUUCGGAGAAGAGCGGCGGACGGGUGAGUAACGCGUGGGUAACCUGCCCUGUACACACGGAUAACAUACCGAAAGGUAUGCUAAUACGAGAUAAUAUGCUUUUAUCGCAUGGUAGAAGUAUCAAAGCUUUUGCGGUACAGGAUGGACCCGCGUCUGAUUAGCUAGUUGGUAAGGUAACGGCUUACCAAUGCGACGAUCAGUAGCCGACCUGAGAGGGUGAUCGGCCACAUUGGAACUGAGACACGGUCCAAACUCCUACGGGAGGCAGCAGUGGGGAAUAUUGCACAAUGGGCGAAAGCCUGAUGCAGCAACGCCGCGUGAGCGAUGAAGGCCUUCGGUCGUAAAGCUCUGUCCUCAAGGAAGAUAAUGACGGUACUUGAGGAGGAAGCCCGGCUAACUACGUGCCAGCAGCCGCGGUAAAGUACACGUCG
rnacentral:rRNA from 1 species